rnacentral:rRNA from 1 species
AACGUAGGACGCAAGCGUUAUCCGGAGUUACUGGGCGUAAAGCGCGAGCAGGCGGUUCUGCACAUUGGACGUGAAAUCGCCCGGCUUAACCGGGCGGGGCCGUUCGAGAUGGCAGGGCUGGAGAGCAGCAGAGGGGCAUGGAAUUCCGGGUGGAGUGGUGAAAUGCGUAGAGAUCCGGAGGAACACCAGAGGCGAAGGCGGUGCCCUGGGCUGUAUCUGACGCUGAGCCGCGACAGCCAGGGGAG